rnacentral:rRNA from 1 species
GUACGAACGCUUGCGGCGUGCCUAAAAAAUGCAAGUCGAACGAGGACUUCGGUCCGAGUGGCGAACGGUCGCGUAACACGUAAGCAACCUGCCCUAAAGUGGGGGACAACACUCCGAAAGGGGUGCUAAUACCGCAUAUGGUCACCUGGCGGCAUCGCCGGGUGUCUAAAGAUUUAUCGCUUUAGGAUGGGCUUGCGGCCUAUCAGGUAGUUGGUGGGGUAAUGGCCUACCAAGCCGACGACGGGUAGCUGGUCUGAGAGGACGAUCAGCCGGAUUGGGACUGAGAUACGGCCCAGACUCCUACGGGGGGCAGCAAUUAGGAAUCUUGCGCAAUGGGGGCAACCCUGACGCAGCGACGUCGCGUGAAGGAUGAAGGUCUUCGGAUCGUAAACUUCUUUUGAGUGGGAAGAAAUUUGACGGUACCACUCGAAUAAGCCCCGGCUAACUACGUGCCAGCAGCCGCGGUAAUACGUAGGGGGCGAGCGUUGUCCGAAGUUACUGGGCGUAAAGCGCGCGUAGGCGGUCUUCCAAGUCUGGGGUGAAAGGUUCAACGCUCAACGUGAACAGUGCCUUGGAUACUGGGAGACUUGAGUCUGGGAAGGGGAAGGGGAAUUCCUGGUGUAGCGGUGAAAUGCGUAGAUAUCAGGAGGACACC